ensembl:lncRNA
AUGUACCUGCGCCGCGGACCCCGCCGGGCUGCCCGGUCCCGGAGUAGGGCACGCUGGCGGGGGCGCCCGGAGCCGGACGGCGUCCGGGGCUGCCCCCUGGGCCGUGGGUCCCCAGCCUGCGUAAGCCCGGGCGGGCCAUGGGGCUGGGGGCGGCGGGGGGCGGUGGCAGCAGCAGCAGCGGCCAGAGCAGGAGAAGCAGUCCCGGGAGGUGGCGCGGCAUGGUGGGCUUCGCGCUGCUGCCCGUGUCCGUCGGUGGGUCGUCUCCCGUGGCUGGGUCAGUGGCGGGCGGGUGCUCGGCGCCCGGGCGGCCAAUUUAAAGGUCCCGCGGCCGUGAGCCCCGCCCCUGCAGCCCUGAGCCCCGCCCCCGCAGCCUGGGGUCCUCCCUCCCCUCGGCCUAGGCCCCGCCCCUCGGCCUAGGCCCCGCCCGCCAACCUGUCCAUGGCUGCGGGCCGCCUGGUCCAUGGCUGCGGGCCGCCUGGUCCAGGACNNNNNNNNNNNNNNNNNNNNNNNNNNNNNNNNNNNNNNNGUCCAGGGCAGCGGGCCGCCUGGUCCAGGGCAGCGGGCCGCCUGGUCCAGUGCAUGCCCGCGGCGGACCUGGAAUGUCUGGGGCCCGUCGGCCAGCGGCGCGGUGCCCGAUCCCGGCUCGCCGCCGCUCCGGUCUCGUCUGGGUGGGCUUGGCCCGCUGCCUCUUGGCCGGGUUCUGCCCCUCUCGAAAUUUCUGCCUGGCCGUACACCUGGGGCCUGGUCGACCCCCAACUCGCCCUCCUGACCCCCAGGCUCCCCGUUUAGGAGGCCCAGGCUUUACGGUCCAGCUCCAUCCAUGUUUGCCCACCUCGGAGUUUCCCCUCGCUCCUCACAACUACAUUUUUUUCCCCAGCCAGGGAACCCAAGUUUUGCUGUGGGCUCUCCUUAAAAAAAAAAAAAAAAACUCAGAUUCUAGCAGCGUGAAUAGAAAUACUUUCAUCCUAACUUCAAACAUCCUAAAGAUUUGAACUUAUAUUACCAGGAAUAGAAAGUCAAACAUACCUUCCCCAGAGAGCCCUCUGUGAGCUGGAAGGACAGCCUGUACCACAGGCUUCAAAGGCUCUCCCUCCAUCCCACUUCCUCCCCCAGGGGUGACGGUGUUGGCACCACAGGGCUGGAGGCCACCCAGGGGACCCUCCGGGAACUCGUAGCCCAUGGGUAGAGACAGAAGCAUCAAUGAUGUACCUGUCUAAGGAAAUAUACUGAGGUCAAGGAGAGACUGGCUCUGCCUGAGGAAACCAGGAAGGAUUCCAAAAGCAGGUUACUGCUGAGCUGGAUGGUAAAACACGGCAAUGAACGUGAGUCCCAACAGAUCCUGUGUGGUCUUCCUACUUUCACACUACUGCCUUUUAAUAUCUACACUCCACACAGUAACCUUAAGAUCACUUCUUCAACCUUGCAACUUCACUUCCAGUAAACUCCCAACUCCUUUGUGUGGCCACCUCCUCGACCACACUGACCACAUCUGAAACUGUACUCUUCUCUCCAUGCAUCAACCACACUAGGCUUUCCCCUUGUCCUGGAGGAUGCCAAGCUUGUUCCCACCUUGUGGCCUUGGCACAGCAACAUCCCUGUAUCUUAGUUUUUUCAGACUUAUUUUUACCACUAUCCACUGUGUCAGUGGUGGUUUAGUCACCAUGUUGUGUCUCUCUUGCGACCCCAUGGACUGUGGGUUGCCAUUUCCUUCUCCAGGGCAUCUUCCUGACUCAAGGAUCAAACCCCAGUCUCCUGCAUUGCAGGAGGAUUCUUUACCAACUGAGCCACCAGGGAAGCCCAACUAUCCACUGUAACAGCUACAUUUUAUAUCAUAAUCUGAGAGCGACAUAAAUAUCCAGUAGGGUUACGUACAACAGAAAUAGCAGUUUCCUGAAACAGUAUUUGCCAUUACCACAUGUGACACACUCUAAUUAAUCUGCUUUAUUCAUGUCCAUUCAGUUCUGUUUCAUUUUUUUAAAAAAAGAUCUGGUCAUAAACAUCUAAACAGAGUUCAUGAUUCACUGUUUCCCAGUCAGCAGUUUGAAAAACAGUUUUAAUUAGAUUCUUUCUUCCUUUCCAAUUUAUUAUGGUAUCAAUACCUGUGUUUCAUAUGUACAGUACAUAUAUAUGCUGUAUAUAUAUAUAUAUAUAUAUAUAUA